rnacentral:rRNA from 1 species
CCUACGGGUGGCAGCAGUGGGGAAUAUUGGGCAAUGGGCGCAAGCCUGACCCAGCAACGCCGCGUGAAGGAAGAAGGCUCUCGGGUUGUAAACCUCCUUUUAGAGGGAAGAGCAGAAGACGGUACCUCUUGAAUAAGCCACGGCUAACUACGUGCCAGCAGCCGCGGUAAUACGUAGGUGGCCAGCGUUGUCCGGAUUUACUGGGUGUAAAGGGCGUGCAGCCGGGAAGACAAGUCAGAUGUGAAAUUCCGCGGCUCAACCGCGGAACUGCAUUUGAAACUGUUUGUCUUGAGUACCGGAGAGGUCAGCGGAAUUCGUGGUGUAGCGGUGAAAUGCGUAGAUAUAACGAAGAACACCGGUGGCGAAGGCGGAUGACUGGACGGCAACUGACGGUGAGGCGCGAAAGCGUGGGGAGCAAACAGGAUUAGAUACCCCUGUAGUC